AACUAUAACGGUCCUAAGGUAGCGAAAUUCCUUGUCGGGUAAGUUCCGACCCGCAUGAAAGGCGUAAUGAUUUGGGCACUGUCUCAACGAGGGGCCCGGUGAAAUUGAAAUACCUGUGAAGAUGCAGGUUACCCGCGACUGGACAGAAAGACCCCAUGGAGCUUCACUGCAGCUUGAGAUUGAAUCCCGGUGACAGAUGCACAGGAUAGGUGGGAGGCGCCGAAGCAUUGCCCUAGGGCGGUGCGGAGCCGAUGUUGGGAUACCACCCUUCUGUUGCUGAGAUUCUAACGCGAGGAGUAACGACCCUGCGGACCCUCUCAGGCAGGCGGUUUGACUGGGGCGGUCGCCUCCGAAAGAGUAACGGAGGCGCCCAAAGGUUCCCUCAGGCCGGACAGAAACCGGCCGAAGAGUGCAAAGGCAGAAGGGAGCUUGACUGCGAGACCAACAAGUCGAGCAGAGACGAAAGUCGGGCUUAGUGAUCCGGUGGUACUGAGUGGAAAGGCCAUCGCUCAACGGAUAAAAGCUACCCUGGGGAUAACAGGCUAAUCUCUCCCAAGAGUUCAUAUCGACGGGGAGGUUUGGCACCUCGAUGUCGGCUCAUCACAUCCUGGGGCUGGAGUAGGUCCCAAGGGUUGGGCUGUUCGCCCAUUAAAGUGGUACGCGAGCUGGGUUCAAAACGUCGUGAGACAGUUUGGUUCAUAUCCAUCGCGGGCGCAAGAAGUUUGAGAGGAGCUGCUCCUAGUACGAGAGGACCGGAGUGGACGGAUCAACGGUGUCCCAGUUGUCACGCCAGUGGCACGGCUGGAAAGCCGCAUCCGGGAAGGAUAAACGCUGAAAGCAUCUAAGCGUGAAGCCAACCUCAAGAUGAGACUUCUCAUCAGCAAUGAGUAAGACCCCUUACAGACGAUGAGGUAGAUAGGUUAUGAGUGGAAGAGCCGCAAGGCUUGGAGCGACAUAAAACUAAUAGGUCGAGGUCUUAACUUA
rnacentral:rRNA from 1 species